rnacentral:rRNA from 1 species
AUGGGAAUAAAACAGGGUAUGCAUACCCUCUUGUAUGUACCAUAUGAAUAAGGAUCGGCUAACUCCGUGCCAGCAGCCGCGGUAAUACGGAGGAUCCGAGCGUUAUCCGGAUUUAUUGGGUUUAAAGGGAGCGUAGGUGGAUUGUUAAGUCAGUUGUGAAAGUUUGCGGCUCAACCGUAAAAUUGCAGUUGAAACUGGCAGUCUUGAGUACAGUAGAGGUGGGCGGAAUUCGUGGUGUAGCGGUGAAAUGCUUAGAUAUCACGAAGAACUCCGAUUGCGAAGGCAGCUCACUGGACUGCAACUGACACUGAUGCUCGAAAGUGUGGGUAUCAAACAGGAUUAGAUACCCUGGUAGUCCACACAGUAAACGAUGAAUACUCGCUGUUUGCGAUAUACAGUAA